rnacentral:misc_RNA from 1 species
GAUGAAGAACGUAGCGAAAUGCGAUACUUGGUGUGAAUUGCAGAAUCCCGUGAACCAUCGAGUCUUUGAACGCAAGUUGCGCCCGAAGCCAUUAGGCCGAGGGCACGCCUGCCUGGGCGUCACACGUCGUUGCCCCCCCAUCUACUCCUUCGGGAUUGCGGGGGGCGGAUGAUGGCCUCUCGUGCGCCUCGUCGCGCGGUUGGCCUAAAUGCCAAGUCCUCGGCGACGCACGCCACGACAAUCGGUGGUUGCGAAACCUAGGUUGCCUGUCGUGUGCGGUCGUCGCGCAUCGAGGGCUCGAAAAAAUUGCCGGGCUUCGGCUCGACUUUCAACGCGACCCCAGGUCAGGCGGGGUUACCCGCUGAAUUUAAGCAUAUCAAUAAGCGGAGGA